rnacentral:lncRNA from 1 species
AUAUUUGCCUCUGAAGCGGCCCCAACUUUCAUUUCCUUUCUGACCUCGGCGAUGCUUGGAAUAACAAUCUUGAAUCGCUCCUCGUGCGGUUGAAUCACCUUCUCCUCUUGUUUCAACAACCUGGCUAAUUCCAGCAGAUCACAAUCUUCUUCGCCUUCUUCUUUGGCAUGAUAGAUCGGAUUGACUUCUCCUCUUGUUUCAACAACCUGGCUAAUUCCAGCAGAUCACAAUCUUCUUCGCCUUCUUCUUUGGCAUGAUAGAUCGGAUUGUCGAAGUCAUACAGAGGUGUAAC